rnacentral:lncRNA from 1 species
CCCACAGCCGAUCUGGCUUCAUUAAGAUGUCCCCGGAAACUGCAACGACCGCUCAGUUAGGGUUUCACUGUAAACAUAAUGACGGAGGCAAUGGUUGAUCUCCCUCGACAUUGGAAGCCGAUCUAGCCAAACCCGAAACAGAGUGAGGCCGGAGAGAGUGAAACAGCUAGAGAGAGAUGAUGAUGCCGAUGGGAGAUUGGUAGCGGGUGCCGAGCAUGGCCUCUGGCCGGCCACCCUAUCUUGAGGACGCUGGUGGUCUUGCUUGCGUGCGUUGUAGAAUAAGAUCGGCAUGAGAAAAGGCUAGAAAGAGAGAUGACAAUGGGUUUGUGUGCCGACCAGUGAUGUUGUUUGUGGAUGUGGACUUUUGAACAGAUUGGUCAUGAGUGCUUUGGCUUAAUGUUUGCAUACUUUUAG